CUCUUCCUUGUUAUAGGACCAAACACACACCGAGGUUCCAAAUAGGGUCUUUCCCAAGCCCACAUCCACAGAUCCGGCUGUCAUCAAACAGGUGUUCCCCGCCUCUUGGUUUCUUUAGCAACAACUCCAGCUUUCUUAAAGAGCGCCCCACCCACCACCUUAGCCCCCAAGAGUUGCCAAAUCCUGUCCCAUCUAGCCCCAUCAAAACCCCCAAGGGCAAGGUUCUAUUACAAGGGUCUCCCACCUCGCCCCGCUUAGGGUGCCCAAUUCUCUGGCGAGAAAAGCCCCAGCCAGGAUUCCCUUCCUAGGCCCAAACAGAGGCCCGACACUCCGAAAACCCCUGAGCACCACGGACAGAUGUCCCCAACACCGCCAGACGUCCCCAACACCGCCAGCGCCCACCCUGGCUCACCGUGCGGAUCUGCCUCCGCAGAAGGUAAAUGAAGAAGCUCCAGAGCUUGGCGGCGAAGGCCACGAACGUGCGCAGCCC
rnacentral:lncRNA from 1 species